rnacentral:misc_RNA from 1 species
CAACCCUCAAGCUCUGCUUGGUAUUGGGCUUCACCCGUCAGGGUGGGCUUUAAAAUCAGUGGCGGUGCCAUUCGGCUUCAAGCGUAGUAAUUUUCUCGCUCUGGAGUACCGGGUGUGUGCCUGCCAUCAAACCCCAAUUUAUUUAAA